rnacentral:rRNA from 1 species
GACGAACGCUGGCGGCGUGCUUAACACAUGCAAGUCGAACGAAGAGCGAUGGAAGCUUGCUUCUAUCAUUCUUAGUGGCGCACGGGUGAGUAACGCGUAAUCAACCUGCCCUUCAGAGGGGGACAACAGUUGGAAACGACUGCUAAUACCGCAUACGAUCUAACCUCGGCAUCGAGGAUAGAUGAAAGGUGGCCUCUACAUGUAAGCUAUCACUGAAGGAGGGGAUUGCGUCUGAUUAGCUAGUUGGAGGGGUAACGGCCCACCAAGGCGAUGAUCAGUAGCCGGUCUGAGAGGAUGAACGGCCACAUUGGGACUGAGACACGGCCCAGACUCCUACGGGAGGCAGCAGUGGGGAAUCUUCCGCAAUGGACGAAAGUCUGACGGAGCAACGCCGCGUGAGUGAUGACGGCCUUCGGGUUGUAAAGCUCUGUUAAUCGGGACGAAAGGCCUUCUUGCGAAUAGUUAGAAGGAUUGACGGUACCGGAAUAGAAAGCCACGGCUAACUACGUG